GACCAGAGCUGGCUGCAGCCUCAGUACCGAAACGAUGUUUGCUCGGAGAAGACCUGCAGGGAAAAUGCGCUCGCAAGAAGUCUAUAGAAAUCUCACUCAGCCGCCGGAAGCUCCGGGUCCGCCGCCAGAACCUGCGCCGGAAGAGUAUGGUGACGACAGCUGCCCCCACUGCGAUGCAGCCCCAAUGGUCGGAAAGCGACAUUCAAGGCUAAGUUGGUGGCAGAAACUUCGGGCCAGUCUAUCGCCCCUCUAUUGCUUUCGCUUUCGAUAUAAAACGAUCUUUAAGUGCCGGUCGUGCGGCUGGCGGACCUCUUCACCCAGUUUCUCGAAAAGAUGCAUCUAUGAAUGCAAAAAUACUACAGGAAUCGCAUCAUGAAUGGAAAAGAAAGGAAGGAAGAUGGCUAUUAUUUUAAGAGUUCUUUAACUAAUUAGAUUUCAUGAAGUUAUGGCUGUAGAAACGGAGUAAUUGGUCAAAAUCAGGAUCCCAACAGAAAUAACGAAAAUAUGAAUAUUUGCCAAAUGUGAAGGGGAUUAUAAAAUUAUAUCUAUAUCUGAGGCAUAAUUUUCAGGAGGUACACUAAAAAGGAAGAGAGAGAGAGAGGGACUCGUUGAUAAAGCUUUCCGCAACUGGUGGCACAUUUUUGUUGAGAGAACUGUUGCAGCAAGAGCAACCAGCAACGUGUUGAGAGAGUUGUUGCAGCAGGAGAAAUGUUGAUAGAACUGUUGCAUCAGGAGUCAUCAGCCACAUGUUGCUCCAUGACUUAUCCGGAAGAAAAUUACAUUGCCGGGACUUGUAACUUGUACAUUUUAAAGAAUAAAUCAGAGGUCAUGAUUGCGGUGUAUCGUAAUGGCUUACAUUCGUAUCUCAAUUUAUAAUUUUAUACAAUGCCUUACAAUUUUACCAAAUUUAUAAAAAACCAGAGCUUCGAGCAGACAUCAACUGCAACAUACAGUGAUAGCUAUAUAUAUGUCCAGGGGCUUUGCCAAAAGCUGUCACUCCUCCUGUUACGCCCAGGCCUAAAUAUUCCACACACCUCCUCCAGCUGCACCGCUGCCCCCACGCUUUGCGUAACGCAUGUGCAAUCAAUAGGUAUGGGAAUUUGAGAUGGGGUACAUUUUGAAAUAUUUUUAUCAAAUAACAACUAUUAUUAUUUAAUUGCGUCUGAGUGAGUAAUCCGAGGACGAAUCUUCCGACAGUUCGGACGAUUGGGAUUAGAGUAUAAAAGAUCAUUUUGCAAAACGCAGUCCCAGAAAGAUGGUCAAAGGGGAGGACCCCAACCAUUCCAAAUUUUGAACUGACAGACAAGAUCCGAAAAUGGGAAAAGAAUUGAAUUUUUCUAAGAUUAAAUGAAGAUACUACAUAGGAUAAUACAAUAGUGAAACUAUUGAAAUCAACACACGUUUCCGAAAAUAAAUGUAUGUCCAGAAAAAUGUGUAUAUAUAUGUACAUAUGUGUGUAUUCUACUUAAUUCCCGGGAUGAAAAGCUAACCUGUUAAUGAAGCUCACGGCAGCUGAUAGCAACAUUGUUGCACAGUUGCACACAGGGACAGGAUGCAUGUUGCACAUACAAACUCUAGAGCUUAUGGUCCAGGAAUCAGUUCUCUGUGUGACGUCUCAACUGCUGUUUGAAAGUGCGGAAAAGUGCAUUUCUCGUAUCCAAAGCCCGAAACCGUUUGUGCGUGGGAUACCAGGCGCAUCCAGAGCUAACUCCCCCGCAGAGCUCUAUUUUUGAGCUGCACCUGGGCAUUGCUAUUUUAUCGGAAUCAGAGUGUGCUCAGGCAUCAUUCGCGAACUGAAUGCCGUACAAACUGCUUCCACAAUACGGCCCGGCGGCACUUGUUGCGUUGUUUGUGGACUGGCGUGAAAACCUAAAGAAGGAGAUAAGAGCUAAUGUGAUUGCUGCUAGGAUGGCAAAGUACCGGAUUCACCACAAGUAUCACCGUAUUCCAAUCGAAUGCUGUCCCAGAUGCAAGUCAACGGCCGUCAAGUUGGAAAUCCGUACUAGUCGCUCGGGAUGGAAGAAACUAAAGAAGAAUUUGGUCGAACUAUGCUUCUGUCGGCCAUACAUUCCAGCGGGCAUGUAUACGCAGGGUCAUACAUGCCGAUCCUGCGGCUGGAUGGACGUAAUUAAGAUAUGUUAAAGGAAUACAAUAUUAUAUAUAUAUAUAUACAUGCAUAUACGAGUAUACUCACGAACAUUCAGAUAACCAAUAUGAUCAAAUAUUAAUUACGAUCAAAUAUUAUUCCGCGUUCUUCAAAGUUA